GAAAUGCGAAAAGUAAUGCGAAUUGCAGAAUUCAGUGAAUCAUCGAAUCUUUGAACGCACAUUGCGCCCGCCAGUAUUCUGGCGGGCAUGCCUGUCCGAGCGUCAUUUCAACCAUCAAGCCCCCGGGCUUGUGUUGGGGACCUGCGGCUGCCCGCAGGCCCUGAAAACCAGUGGCGGGCUCGCUGUCACACCGAGCGUAGUAGCAAUCACCUCGCUCAGGGCGUGCUGCGGGUUCCGGCCGUUAAACAGCCUUACAAAACCCAAGGUUGACCUCGGAUCAGGUAGGAAGACCCGCUGAACUUAAGC
rnacentral:misc_RNA from 1 species